rnacentral:rRNA from 1 species
GAUGAACGCUGGCGGCGUGCCUAAUACAUGCAAGUCGAGCGAACAGACGAGGAGCUUGCUCCUCUUACGUUAGCGGCGGACGGGUGAGUAACACGUGGAUAACCUACCUAUAAGACUGGGAUAACUUCGGGAAACCGGAGCUAAUACCGGAUAAUAUAUUGAACCGCAUGGUUCAAUAUUGAAAGACGGUUUUGCUGUCACUUAUAGAUGGAUCCGCGCCGCAUUAGCUAGUUGGUAAGGUAACGGCUUACCAAGGCAACGAUGCGUAGCCGACCUGAGAGGGUGAUCGGCCACACUGGAACUGAGACACGGUCCAGACUACUAGGGGAGGCAACAGUAGGGAAUCUUACGGAAUGGGCGAAAGCCUGACGGAGCAACGCCGCGUGAGUGAUGAAGGUCUUCGGAUCGUAAAACACUGUUAUUAGGGAAGAACAAAUGUGUAAGUAACUAUGCACGUCUUGACGGUACCUAAUCAGAAAGCCACGGCUAACUACGUG